GAAAUGCAGGAGUUACUUGUCCAGCGAGAAUUUGGGUUACAGCGUUUUGCUGGCUCUGACACUGACAUCCGAUUCUACACCAGAUUUCCAAGCUAUGAUCAUUUGAUGGCAUUUUGGUUUUUGAUUGAGCCUUGCAUCUACAAAAUGAUCCGGGUUUCAAGAGCCAAGUCAGCUGCCAAUAGGAACGAAGAAGUGUUGACACCUGCACGCACAUCAAUGAGGCAGCUGCUACAGCCAGUUGACGAGUUCUUUCUUUUCCUGGUUUUCCUGUCGGUUGGUUUGAAGGAGAGGGACCUGGCACACCGAUUUAACAUACACCAGUCCACAGUGAGCCGCAUUAUCGCAACAUGGACAAAUUUUCUUGCCACUGCACUGGGGUCUCAAUGCAUCUGGCUUACACGUGCAGAAGUGCAAGCUUACCUCCCUGAGGAAUUCAAAGAUUUCUCAGACACCCAGAUGAUCCUUGACUGUACAGAGCUGAGGUGUCAGACACCAUCCUCACCACUUCUCCAAAGUGAAAUGUACUCUUCGUACAAAUCCCACUGCACGAUGAAAGCCCUGGUUGGCAUAGCUCCACAUG